rnacentral:rRNA from 1 species
AGCGGCGGAUGGGUGAGUAACACGUGGGGAACCUGCCCCUAAGUCUGGGAUACCAUUUGGAAACAGGUGCUAAUACCGGAUAAUAAAGCAGAUCGCAUGAUCAGCUUUUGAAAGGCGGCGUAAGCUGUCGCUAAGGGAUGGCCCCGCGGUGCAUUAGCUAGUUGGUAAGGUAACGGCUUACCAAGGCGACGAUGCAUAGCCGAGUUGAGAGACUGAUCGGCCACAUUGGGACUGAGACACGGCCCAAACUCCUACGGGAGGCAGCAGUGGGGAAUCUUCCACAAUGGACGCAAGUCUGAUGGAGCAACGCCGCGUGAGUGAAGAAGGUUUUCGGAUCGUAAAGCUCUGUUGUUGGUGAAGAAGGAUAGAGGUAGUAACUGGCCUUUAUUUGACGGUAAUCAACCAGAAAGUCACGGCUAACUACGUGCCAGCAGCCGCGGUAAUACGUAGGUGGCAAGCGUUGUCCGGAUUUAUUGGGCGUAAAGCGAGCGCAGGCGGAAAAAUAAGUCUAAUGUGAAAGCCCUCGGCUUAACCGAGGAACUGCAUCGGAAACCGUUUUUCUUGAGUGCAGAAGAGGAGAGUGGAACUCCAUGUGUAGCGGUGGAAUGCGUAGAUAUAUGGAAGAACACCAGUGGCGAAGGCGGCUCUCUGGUCUGCAACUGACGCUGAGGCUCGAAAGCAUGGGUAGCGAACAGGAUUAGAUACCCUGGUAGUCCAUGCCGUAAACGAUGAGUGCUAAGUGU